UUGUCACUCAGGGAACACAAGACUGUCUUUAAUGUUCUUUUGCUGGGUAAGCAGAGCCAGGUCAGAUGUGUGCUCUUCUUGAACUUCAGUGGAAGUGAGGCUGUGGAAUAUCAAACAUGAUACCAUCAUUCUGGCAAUCACCUUGUGCAGUGUGAAAGUUCAUAUCCACCUUGUCCUUUAUAAGAACCACAAGAUAGUCUCCUUCCUGACCACAGCAGAGUAUCUGUGACAGGUUCUAUCACCAUAGAAAUUGCUGUUACGUGCUGUUCUGCUAUAGGAGCAGCCUUCCACACGGCCAGCUACUCAACCCUCCCAAGCUACUUGACCCAAGCAAGAAUGAGAAGGAACAAGUAUCUCCAAAGUAUUGCCCCUUUCUGAAGUCCUCACAGUUGAAACCUUUGUGAUUCCACAAGAUUUUAGCAAAAGGUGUGAAAUGAAAAUAUCCAGACAAAUAAUCAAGUAUGACAACCAGAAAAGAAUCCAUUGCAGACCAGCCUUUUUUAAAGGUAUAGCAGGACAGUCAACACAGAGUGUCAAGAAAAAAGAAGGAUUCGGUGCCUGUAAAUGAGUUAGUACGGAUUUGUCUCUUUCAGGCUCAUAAUCCUUGCAUCUAACUGAUACUCAGUCUCUCCCCCUGUAUAAGGACAUUUAAGGUCUUGUUGCUGUGUGCUUGUAUAUAUCUUUGUAUUCAGAGAAGACAUUGCAGUACUUCCUAGCUCAUGUUUGGCUGUCAUGUGGAAAUAUCCGGGCUUCACUGAGCUAUUUUAUCUGUAUUCAUCAUUGUUUCAAAGUCUUUUUUCUCUUUGUUUGUUGAUCCUAUUAGCAUAUUUUUACAGCUGUAAACCAUCAAACAAUUACUAUAUGAAGGUCAGGGUAUGGCUUUUGUGCUGUAGACAUGGUCUCCUUCCUUAUUGAAUUGUGAUGUGCUGUUUGUCCUUGAUUUUGAAGCAUUAGCCAACUGGUAAUUUGGCAGUCCCUGUACCGCAUUUCUAAUGGGGUGAUAGUACAAUGGGUAUGUAGUGGGGGGUUUUAUGGCCACUGAUACUAUUUUCAAGCUUCCCAGCAGCUACUAACUCAAGCUUUCUCUUCUGAGAAAGGAAAUAAUGAAUCCAAGUUGUGAGUAAAUACAGUUUUCAUUAAACAAAUAACAGCUUGGUCCUCCCCCUCACACCCCUGUGAAUAGAAACCUGGGAAGGGGUAUAACUGCAGCACCUCUGUAACAUUCCCAUAUGAGCUUUUGAAAAGCUUUUCAACUGGUAAUCACAUCGCGAUUGUCAGAUUCCUGUUACACAUACGUCAGUUCCAGCUUACUCACGAGGAAAUCAAGGCAA